CUACGGGGGGCUGCAGUUGCGAAAACUUUACAAUGCGCGAAAGCGUGAUAAGGGGAUCCCAAGUGUCAUAGUUUUACUAUGACUGUGGCAAAGUGUAAAACGCUUUGCAAGAAAGGGGUGGGUAAUACCGGUGCCAGCAGCCGCGGUAAUCCCGGAGCCUCAAGUGGUGACCAUGUUUAUUGGGCCUAAAGCGCUCGUAGCAGGAUUAGUAAGUUCUCGGUGAAAUCGUCUAGCUUAACUAAACGAAUUGCCUUGAAUACUGCUAGUCUAGGGAUAGGGAGAGGUCAGGAGUAUGCUUGGGGGAGGGGUAAAAUCCUUUAAUCCUAAGUAGACUAUCAAUGGCGAAGGCACCUGACUGGAACUAGUCCGACUGUGAGGGACGAAAGUUAGGGUAGCAAACGGGAUUAGAUACCCCGGUAGUC
rnacentral:rRNA from 1 species